UGGGGAAUAUUGGACAAUGGGCGCAAGCCUGAUCCAGCAAUGCCGCGUGAGCGAUGAAGCCCUUCGGGGUGUAAAGCUCUUUCGACGGGAACGAUAAUGACGGUACCCGGAGAAGAAGCUGCGGCUAACUACGUGCCAGCAGCCGCGGUAAUACGUAGGCAGCGAGCGUUGUUCGGAAUUACUGGGCGUAAAGAGUGUGUAGGCGGUGUUCUAAGUCUGGUGUGAAAUCUCCCGGCUCAACUGGGAGGGUGCGCCGGAAACUGGAAUGCUUGAGGGUGGGAGAGGUAAGCGGAAUUCCUGGUGUAGCGGUGAAAUGCGUAGAUAUCCGUAGGAACAUCCGAGGCGAAGGCGGCUCGCUGGAUCACAACUGACGCUGAGGGACGAAAGCUAGGGGAGCAAACAGGAUUAGAUACCCUGGUAGUCCUAGCCCUAAACCAUCAGGACUUGGGGUGUGCCCUGUACGGGGCACGUCCCGUAGCUAACGCGUUAAGUCCUGCGCCUGGGGAGUACGGUCGCAAGGC
rnacentral:rRNA from 1 species